rnacentral:lncRNA from 1 species
AUGGCCGCCGGGCGGAAGGCGGACGACGCGUACAAGAUGGCCGGCGGGUACAAGAUGGCCGCCGGGUACAGGAUGGACGACCCGUACAAGAUGGCUGACCCGUACAAGAUGGCCGCCGGGUACAGGAUGGUAGAGCAGUCCAAGAUGGCUGACCCGUACAAGAUGGCCGCCAGGUACAGGAUGGCUGAGCCAUACAAGAUGGACGACCCGUACAAGAUGGCGGACACAUCCAAGAUGGCUGCCAGGUACAAGAUGGCUGACCCGUACAAGAUGGCCACUGGGUACAAGAUGGUCGAGCCAUCCAAGAUGGCUGACGCAUCCAAGAUGGCCGACCCAUACAAGAUGGCUGACACAUCCAAGGUGGCGGACGCGUCCAAGAUGGCCGCCGCAGGGAGGGUGGUUGAGGAAUCCAAGAUGUCCGCCGUGUCCAAGAUGGCGGCCUGGUACAGGAUGCUGCCUUGGUUCAAGACGGCGCCCGAACCCAAGAUGGCCGCCGAACCCAAGAUGGCGGCCGGACACGACCUAGAAGAAGAAGAAUCCAAGAUGGCGGCGUGGGCAUGGCCACGCCCAAUAUGGCGACCGGGCGGCUCUCCCCGACCAAUCGGCUUCGAGUGUGCGGAGCCUCAUGCAAAUGAGGGGUGGGGACGGGAAGUGACGUCAGAGUGGGCGGGGCCUGCUGAGUACCCCAGCGGCCAUCUUGGGGGGCGGCCAUUUUGGGGCGGCCAUUUUGAACCCGGCCGCCAUUUUGAAUCCAGACACCAUUUUGAUUCUGGCAGCCACUUUGAUUCCGGCCGCCAUUUUGAAGACAGACGUGGCGGCCAUUUUGAUCCUGGCCGCCAUUUUGAAUCCAGCCACCAUUUCCAUCCCGGCCGCCAUUUUGAUUCCGGCGGCCAUUUUGAAUCCAGCCACCAUUUCCAUCCCGGCCGCCAUUUUGAUUCUGGACGCCAUUUUGAUUCUGGCGGCCAUUUUGAUUCCGGCGGCCAUUUUGAAUCCAGCCACCAUUUCCAUCCCGGCCGCCAUUUUGAUUCUGGACGCCAUUUUUAUUCUGGAGGCCAUUUUGAUUCCGGCCGCCAUUUUGAUUCCAGCCGCCAUGUUGAUCCCGCCUUCUUCUUCCCCCACCCCAGCGGCCAUGUUGACCCCUCCGGCGGCCAUGUUGACCCCUCCGUCCGCCAUUUCCUCGCCUCGCCGCCGCCCUCCGCCGGCGGCCAUCUUGCCGGCGGCCGCGGCGAGGCGCCGCCGGCGGCGCUGUCGGUGCUGUACCUGCUGGCGCUGCUGCUGCUGCUGACGUGGCACCUCCUGCUGGUGGCGACGCUGCGCUACCGCCACACGUGGGCCCGCAACGCCGCCGGCGCCGCGCUGGGCUGGGCCGCCUGGGCCCUCACCUACCGCGGCUGGUACCGCCGGGCCUGGUCGCCGGGGCCGCCCGGCUGGGGCUGA